rnacentral:miRNA from 1 species
CCUUUGCUAAGUUUAACCCUGU